UACGAAGGGUGCAAGCGUUGUUCGGAUUUAUUGGGCGUAAAGCGCGCGUAGGCGGACCUGCAAGUCAGAUGUGAAAAUCUCGGGGCUCAACCUCGAAACUGCGUCUGAAACUACAGGUCUAGAAUCUUGGAGGGGGAAGGGGAAUUUCGCAUGUAGGGGUAAAAUCCGUAGAUAUGCGAAGGAACACCAGAGGCGAAGGCGCCUUCCUGGACAAGUAUUGACGCUGAGGCGCGGAAAGCGUGGGGAACGAACAGG
rnacentral:rRNA from 1 species